GUUACUAUGUAACAAACUUGUGAAGUUGAAUAGUGGAUUCAUAUUAUCUCAUUUAACUCCUGGAGGAGUGGUUCAUGCAAAGAAUAAUAUUAACUGGGGGGUGGGGGAAGUAGUUAGUGUUCUUAUAUCUAGAUGUUCAUAGAAGUAAUUCUGAAACCUACUUUUUCUAAUUUCUAGAGACAGAAUAAUGUAGUAGUUAAAAACUUGGACUCUGGAGUCAAACUGCAUUGUUUUAAAACCUGGCUCCUCUACUUAUUAGCUUCAUAAACCUGGCAAACUACUUAACCUCUCUGUAAACUGGGAAUAAUAAAUAACAGUAGUUAUCUCCUAGGUCUUGAGGAGUAAGAGUGAAUUUAGGUAAAGCACUGAAAACAUCAACAAUGAAAAUAAUGUAAAUUACACAGUGCGAACUGGUAGGUGUUAAUUAUUACUAACAGAAUGACUUCAAUCCUAAGAGGAACAAAUGACUCACGGUGCUUUAAAAAAAAAAAAAUGAGAGGCCAAGUUAUCUUUAAGCUUUUCAAAAUGAAGGAGAAAUUUAAAACAACAACAACAACUCUUUUUCUCCCUACCACCUUUCAUUUGCUAGCUUCCCCUCUGAAUUCAGAGGUUCUUAACUGGAAGGUGUAGAAGCCUCUGACUUAGGUGGAAACAGCUGAGGCAAUGUAUUUUCCUUACCAUAAUGUUUAUGACCUGUCAUCAUCACCAGCUGCUGAACUUUUUUUCAGGUUGGACGGCAAUUAGAAGCUGAGCAGGCCUACAAGUACACGAAAAAGCUGAAAUUGAAAGAUGAGGCUUUGCUUGCAGAGAUCCACACAGUACAGGAAACCGUUGGCUUUGGAAAUCCAUCUUUCUGAUACCUCUCCAGCUGAACAAUUUUCUAUAUGAGACUCUGAGUUCCUUUCCUUCCCAGAGAGUUUCACACCAUAUGAAGCCUGGAAAUGGGCUGCUGGGUUUGUAAAAAUAACCUACAAAAGAAUCUUCACCAUAAAUAGAGACCCAUUCAUUUCUUUCCAUUGGCUGUGUUACUGGAUGUUUUACUGGUUGAUAAGAAACUGGGUCACAAUAAAGAAUGAAAAUAUGAAACUCA